rnacentral:tRNA from 1 species
AUAGUUUAUUAAAAACAUUGGUCUUGUAAACCAAAGAAUGAAGAUCUAACCUCUUCUUAGAGUUCCCCU